rnacentral:rRNA from 1 species
AUUGAACGCUGGCGGCAUGCCUUACACAUGCAAGUCGAACGGCAGCGGGGGAGAAGCUUGCUUUUCCUGCCGGCGAGUGGCGAACGGGUGAGUAAUACAUCGGAACGUGCCCUGUAGUGGGGGAUAACUAGUCGAAAGAUUAGCUAAUACCGCAUACGACCUGAGGGUGAAAGUGGGGGACCGCAAGGCCUCAUGCUAUAGGAGCGGCCGAUGUCUGAUUAGCUAGUUGGUGGGGUAAAGGCCUACCAAGGCGACGAUCAGUAGCUGGUCUGAGAGGACGAUCAGCCACACUGGGACUGGGACACGGCCCAGACUCCUACGGGAGGCAGCAGUGGGGAAUUUUGGACAAUGGGCGAAAGCCUGAUCCAGCAAUGCCGCGUGUGUGAAGAAGGCCUUCGGGUUGUAAAGCACUUUUGUCCGGAAAGAAAUGGCUCUGGUUAAUACCUGGGGUCGAUGACGGUACCGGAAGAAUAAGGACCGGCUAACUACGUGCCAGCAGCCGCGGCAA